GAUGAACGCUGGCGGCGCGCCUAACACAUGCAAGUCGAACGGUUAAAGCACCUUUUAGGUGUGUAUAAAGUGGCGAACGGCUGAGUAACACGUGGGCAACCUGCCCUCCUCUUGGGGAUAGCCUCGGGAAACCGAGGAUAAUACCCGAUACUUCAAUGUGGCCGCAUGACGACUUGAGAAAGCUUUUGCGGAGAAGGAUGGGCCCGCGGCCUGUUAGCUUGUUGGUGGGGUAGAGGCCUACCAAGGCAAUGAUGGGUAGCUGGGUUGAGAGACCGACCAGCCAGAUUGGGACUGAGACACGGCCCAGACUCCUACGGGAGGCAGCAGUGGGGAAUCUUGCACAAUGGGCGAAAGCCUGAUGCAGCGACGCCGCGUGCGGGAAGAAGGCCUUCGGGUUGUAAACCGCUUUCAGCAGGGACGAGGCGAAAGUGACGGUACCUGCAGAAGAAGCCCCGGCUAACUACGUGCCAGCAGCCGCGGUAAUACGUAGGGGGCAAGCGUUAUCCGGAUUCAUUGGGCGUAAAGCGCUCGUAGGCGGUCUGUUAGGUCGGGAGUUAAAUCCGGAGGCUCAACCUCCGCCCGCUCCCGAUACCGGCAGACUUGAGUUUGGUAGGGGAAGGUGGAAUUCCUAGUGUAGCGGUGGAAUGCGCAGAUAUUAGGAAGAACACCAGUGGCGAAGGCGGCCUUCUGGGCCAUAACUGACGCUGAGGAGCGAAAGCUAGGGGAGCAAACAGG
rnacentral:rRNA from 1 species